UACAGAGGGGGCAAGCGUUGUUCGGAAUUACUGGGCGUAAAGGGCGCGUAGGCGGCCUUCUAAGUCGAACGUGAAAUCCCCGGGCUCAACCCGGGAACUGCGUCCGAUACUGGAAGGCUUGAAUCCGGGAGAGGGAUGCGGAAUUCCAGGUGUAGCGGUGAAAUGCGUAGAUAUCUGGAGGAACACCGGUGGCGAAGGCGGCGUCCUGGACCGGUAUUGACGCUGAGGCGCGAAAGCCAGGGGAGCAAACGGG
rnacentral:rRNA from 1 species